UACAGAGGGUGCAAGCGUUGUUCGGAAUUAUUGGGCGUAAAGCGCGUGUAGGCGGCUUUGCAAGUCGGGUGUGAAAGCCCUCAGCUUAACUGAGGAAGUGCGCCCGAAACUGCAGAGCUUGAAUACCGGAGAGGAUGGCGGAAUUCCCCAAGUAGAGGUGAAAUUCGUAGAUAUGGGGAGGAACACCGGUGGCGAAGGCGGCCAUCUGGACGGCUAUUGACGCUGAGGAGCGAAAGCGUGGGGAGCGAACAGG
rnacentral:rRNA from 1 species